rnacentral:rRNA from 1 species
UCAGUUCGGACUGUAGGCUGCAACUCGCCUACACGAAGUCGGAAUCGCUAGUAAUCGCGGAUCAGCAUGCCGCGGUGAAUACGUUCCCGGGCCUUGUACACACCGCCUGUCACACCAUGGGAGUUUGUAACGCCCAAAGUCGGUGGCCUAACCUUUAUGGAGGGAGCCGCCUAAGGCGGGACAGAUGACUGGGGUGAAGUCGUAACAAGGUACC